AGUUCGACGGGAUCGACGGCACGUGUAACGACGAGAUAGUCGCGCAUAACUAUUCCGUGGCGGUUCUC
rnacentral:sRNA from 1 species